rnacentral:rRNA from 1 species
UACAGAGGUCCCAAGCGUUGUUCGGAUUUACUGGGCGUAAAGGGUGCGUAGGCGGUUGGGUAAGUCUGACGUGAAAUCUCCGGGCCUAACCCGGAAACUGCGUUGGAUACUAUUUGACUAGAGGAAUGGAGGGGAGACUGGAAUACUUGGUGUAGCAGUGAAAUGCGUAGAUAUCAAGUGGAACACCAGUGGCGAAGGCGAGUCUCUGGACAUUUCCUGACGCUGAGGCACGAAAGCCAGGGGAGCAAACGGG